rnacentral:rRNA from 1 species
UACGUAGGGUGCAAGCGUUGUCCGGAAUUAUUGGGCGUAAAGAGCUCGUAGGCGGUUUGUCGCGUCUGCUGUGAAAACCCGAGGCUCAACCUCGGGCCUGCAGUGGGUACGGGCAGACUAGAGUGCGGUAGGGGAGAUUGGAAUUCCUGGUGUAGCGGUGGAAUGCGCAGAUAUCAGGAGGAACACCGAUGGAGAAGGCAGAUCUCUGGGCCGUAACUGACGCUGAGGAGCGAAAGCAUGGGGAGCGAACAGG